rnacentral:misc_RNA from 1 species
CAACCAUCAAGCCCUGCUUGUGUUGGGGUCCUGCGGCUGUCCGCAGGCCCUUAAAACCAGUGGCGGGCUCGCCUACACUCCGAGCGCAGUAAUACAUCUCGUUCUGGUCGUGUGGUGGGUUCCAGCCGUUAAACACCCCCCUUUCGUAA